rnacentral:rRNA from 1 species
UACGGAGGGAGCUAGCGUUGUUCGGAAUUACUGGGCGUAAAGCGCACGUAGGCGGAUCAGCAAGUUAGGGGUGAAAUCCCGGGGCUCAACCCCGGAACUGCCUUUAAAACUGCUGGUCUGGGAGGUCGAGAGAGGUGAGUGGAAUUCCGAGUGUAGAGGUGAAAUUCGUAGAUAUUCGGAGGAACACCAGUGGCGAAGGCGCUCACUGGCGUCGAACCUGACGCUGAGGUGCGAAAGCGUGGGGAGCAAACAGGAUUGAGAUACCCCGUGUAAGU